AUGAACGCUGGCGGCGUGCCUAAUACAUGCAAGUCGAGCGAACAGACGAGGAGCUUGCUCCUCUGACGUUAGCGGCGGACGGGUGAGUAACACGUGGAUAACCUACCUAUAAGACUGGGAUAACUUCGGGAAACCGGAGCUAAUACCGGAUAAUAUAUUGAACCGCAUGGUUCAAUAGUGAAAGACGGUUUUGCUGUCACUUAUAGAUGGAUCCGCGCCGCAUUAGCUAGUUGGUAAGGUAACGACUUACCAAGGCAACGAUGCGUAGCCGACCUGAGAGGGUGAUCGGCCACACUGGAACUGAGACACGGUCCAGACUCCUACGGGAGGCAGCAGUAGGGAAUCUUCCGCAAUGGGCGAAAGCCUGACGGAGCAACGCCGCGUGAGUGAUGAAGGUCUUCGGAUCGUAAAACUCUGUUAUUAGGGAAGAACAAAUGUGUAAGUAACUAUGCACGUCUUGACGGUACCUAAUCAGAAAGCCACGGCUAACUACGUG
rnacentral:rRNA from 1 species